rnacentral:rRNA from 1 species
GACGAACGCUGGCGGCGUGCUUAACACAUGCAAGUCGAACGGAAAGGCCCUGCUUUUGUGGGGUGCUCGAGUGGCGAACGUGUGAGUAACACGUGAGUAACCUGCCCUUGACUUUGGGAUAACUUCAGGAAACUUGGGCUAAUACCGGAUAGUAGCUCCUGCUGCAUGGUGGGGGUUGGAAAGUUUCGGCGGUUGGGGAUGGACUCGCGGCUUAUCAGCUUGUUGGUGGGGUAGUGGCUUACCAAGGCUUUGACGGGUAGCCGGCCUGAGAGGGUGACCGGCCACAGUGGGACUGAGAUACGGCCCAGACUCCUACGGGAGGCAGCAGUGGGGAAUAUUGCACAAUGGGCGGAAGCCUGAUGCAGCAACGCCGCGUGCGGGAUGACGGCCUUCGGGUUGUAAACCGCUUUCGCCUGUGACGAAGCGUGAGUGACGGUAAUGGGUAAAGAAGCACCGGCUAACUACGU